UUAAACAAUAACAUUCUCAGAUUUCGAUAACGCAAGCUUCCAUUUUUUACGAUUCAACGAGUUUUGGGUUUUCAACUUUACGAUCAGAAUGCUGUGUCAAGCUAAGUUUUAAAUCGUUCAACAAAUCCUUUACCAGAUUUUGAUUGGUAUAUUACAGAAUCAUAAUGAAGGGACAUUUUUGAAUCUCCUAUGAAAAAUACCCUCUUUUCAAGCUC